rnacentral:rRNA from 1 species
UACGUAGGUGGCAAGCGUUGUCCGGAUUUACUGGGCGUAAAGGGCGUGCAGGCGGUUUGUUAAGUCUAGGGUGAAAGCUCCCGGCUCAACUGGGAGAGGUCCUUGGAUACUGGCGAACUUGAGGGAUGCAGAGGAAAGUGGAAUUCCCGGUGUAGUGGUGAUAUGCGUAGAUAUCGGGAGGAACACCAGUGGCGAAGGCGGCUUUCUGGGCAUUUCCUGACGCUGAGACGCGAAAGCGUGGGGGAGCGAACCGG